rnacentral:rRNA from 1 species
CCUACGGGAGGCAGCAGUGGGGAAUAUUGGGCAAUGGGCGCAAGCCUGACCCAGCAACGCCGCGUGAAGGAAGAAGGCUUUCGGGUUGUAAACUUCUUUUCUCAGGGACGAAGCAAGUGACGGUACCUGAGGAAUAAGCCACGGCUAACUACGUGCCAGCAGCCGCGGUAAUACGUAGGGGGCAAGCGUCAUCCGGAGUUACUGGGUGUAAAGGGCGUGUAGGCGGGACUGCAAGUCAGAUGUGAAAACCACGGGCUCAACCUGUGGCCUGCAUUUGAAACUGUGGUUCUUGAGUACUGGAGAGGCAGCAGGAAUUCCUGGUGUAGCGGUGAAAUGCGUAGAUAUUAGGAGGAACACCAGUGGCGAAGGCGGUCUGCUGGACAGCAACUGACGCUGAGGCGCGAAGGCGUGGGGAGCAAACAGGAUUAGAUACCCGGGUAGUC